rnacentral:lncRNA from 1 species
UUGUAACAUUGCUAAAGAAAGAAUAAUAUCUGGAUAGCCAUUCCUCCCCAAGGCUAUCUAUAUUGCCUUUUAAGAGGCAAUGCAGAUUGCCAUCCAAAAAGCAUAUGAAACACAAUAAUCAAGUGGGCCCAUAUUAAAUUGUCGGCAAUCUGGAUAGAUUACCAGCUAUCAAAUGCAACCUUGGUCCCGUGGUUUGCAUGCC